CAGACAGAGGUCCAGGACCUUGGGAAUGAGGAUGACGAUGGUCUGGAGAUUACUCCCUUCGAUGCCGAGGAGGAUGUCUCCGAGGGCGAGCCGGAGACCGCCCCGGAGGAGUGGGCAGGAACACGGGUGCUCAGCUGGCUGUCACAGGGCUUCGAGAGGAUUCUGCCGCAGCCGGAGGGGAUGAAAAAGCCGGAGACAGAGCCGAAGGAGAGGA